rnacentral:rRNA from 1 species
UACGGAGGGUGCAAGCGUUAAUCGGAAUUACUGGGCGUAAAGCGCACGUAGGCGGCUUAUUAAGUCGGUUGUGAAAUCCCCGGGCUCAACCUGGGAACUGCAUUUGAGACUGCACGGCUAGAGUGUGACAGAGGGGGGUAGAAUUCCACGUGUAGCAGUGAAAUGCGUAGAGAUGUGGAGGAAUACCGAUGGCGAAGGCAGCCCCCUGGGUUACUACUGACGCUCAUGCACGAAAGCGUGGGGAGCAAACAGGAUUAGAUACCCUGGUAGUCCACGCCCUAAACGAUGUCAACUGGAUGUUGGAGGGGUUAAACCCUUUAGUGUCGUAGCUAACGCGAGAAGUUGACCGCCUGGGGAGUACGGCCGCAAGGCUAAA